CUACGGGAGGCAGCAGUGAGGAAUUUUGCGCAAUGGGGGAAACCCUGACGCAGCAACGCCGCGUGAGUGAUGAAGGCCUUCGGGUCGUAAAACUCUGUCAAGUGGGAAGAACCUAUGUAAGGUUAAUACCCUUAUGUACUGACGGUACCACUGAAGGAAGCACCGGCUAACUCCGUGCCAGCAGCCGCGGUAAUACGGAGGGUGCAAGCGUUAUUCGGAAUUAUUGGGCGUAAAGGGCGCGCAGGCGGUUUUGUAAGUCAGAUGUGAAAGCCCGGGGCUUAACCUCGGAAGUGCGUUUGAUACUGCAAGACUUGAGUAUGGGAGGGGGAAGUGGAAUCCCUGGUGUAGAGGUGAAAUUCGUAGAUAUCAGGAGGAACACCAGUGGCGAAGGCGACUUCCUGGACCAAUACUGACGCUGAGGCGCGAAGGCGUGGGGAGCAAACAGGAUUAGAUACCCCUGUAGUC
rnacentral:rRNA from 1 species